rnacentral:lncRNA from 1 species
CUCCAGUCCCCUUCUGCACUGUGGAAGCUUUGUUCUUUUGCUCUUUGCAAUAAAUCUUGCUACUGCUCACUCUUUGCGUCCACACUGCCUUUAUGAGCUGUAACACUCACUGCGAAGGUCUGCAGCUUCACUCCUGAAGCCAGCCAGACUACGAACCCACCGGGAGGAACGAACAACUCCAGAUGCGCCACCUUAAGAGCUGUAACACUCACCGCGAAGGUCCCGCAGCUUCACUCCUGAGCCAGCAAGACCACGAACCCACCAGAAGGAAGAAACUCCGAACACAUCUGAACAUCAGAAGGAACAAACUCUGGACACACUGCCUUUAAGAACUGUAAUACUCACCGUGAGGGCCCGCGGCUUCAUUCUUGAAGUCAGUGAGACCAAGAACCCACCAAUUCCAGACACAGUGGGAUCACAGAGAGAGCCAACAGUCCAGGCCAUGACAAGCUGGCACCCAGCUCUGCUUCACAUGUAAGUUAUUCCUCUUCUAAUUGUCCCGCUAGGUGAAAUUGAUUAAUCAUUUAUUCAGAAUCUCCACUUCCUGCUAGUUGUCCAACUGGCGUGGCUGUAGCUCCUUCCUGCAAGGCAAUGCUGAAGAAGCUAUGGAAGCAAGAAGGAAGCAUGGAUUCUAAAAACUGACAACAAACCACUUACCCCUAUUGCUCUUCUUCCUAAAGCUAAAGGUAAAUCUUGGCUGGAGUUGCAAAUGGGAAUGUUAGCAAAUGGGAAUAGGAAUGGUGGUUCUAAUGCUUGGGGCUCACCACCUUCCCUCCCUUAUACUCCUUUCCUGAUGCAGAGUGCCAGAGUAGCCAAUACCCCCUUUCAACAGGAGCUCACAGGACAGAAGAAGGUCAAAACUUAAGGAGGAAAAUUACAUUAAAAGAAAGAUCAAAACUGUACAAGACAACAAUACAUACCACCCAAAGCAAAAAUAUUAGAGCAAACAGACCAAGGAAUUUUUUUUUUUUUUUUGAGACGGAAUCUUGCUCUGUCAUUUAGGCUGGAGUGCAGUGGUGUGAUCUCGGCUCACUGCAACCCCUGCCUCCCAGGUUCAAGCGAUUCUCACACCUCCCUAGUAGCUGGGACUACAGACUAUGCCCAGGAGAACCCUAGGACCUUCAGGACACCAUUUGAAAAUUAUUCAUGGAGAACAUGGCAUCCUAGAAUGAGAAAUCCACAUCUGGUACUGUCAGCCAGGGUUCCUAGCUUUCAGCAGAGAAAGAACUUAUUAAAAAUAGAUAGGAUAGCAUAGCUCACCCCACCCCUAAGAGGGAGAGAUGACAAGCUUGGAGAUAGGAAGAACGGCCUGGAUUCACAAUGCAGUGAAGAUCCUGCUGCUGCCAGGCACAGCAACUCUGGCUCAUAUCACUAGACAUGGGACCUGGCUGGGGGGCUCGUACCAGGAAGCCUGGACACAGGACCCUGCUGCUGGGGCUGUGGCUGCAGGGCUUCUGGAGGGUCUGUGUUGCUGAGACUCCAACUGCUGCCCCCACCCACUGGAAUGGAGCCUGCCCCAGUUUCUGAUUCACAGUCUGAGGCAGGAGUGUCUCACUGGAAGAUCUUGCACCACGGGCCUGUACCUUAGCUUUAAAGAAGGCUGUGGAAAGGCAUAUAUGGCAUUUUUGUUUCUGUAAUUUGAAGUAGCUCUACCUAAUAAGACAGAAAAUUCUCCAAAAGGAGAAGGAGGUUCAGAUGCUAAGGGAGGAGGAAAUAAUGACAAAUGCUUACUACAGGAACUUUGGCAAGUUGCUUUAUCUCUGAGCAUUAUUCCUCUAGGAAAAAUAAUGGCCCUUCUAAGUCAUCCAUCCAUCCAUCCACCCAUCCAUCUGUUUAUCCAUCCAUAGCAAACAUUUAGUAAGAGCUGUUCUAGCUAUCUAUUGUUUCAUAAUAAAUGACCCCAGCUUCGUGGCUGAAACAAUCAUUUCAAGGUAUCUCAUGACUUUUGUUGGUAAGGAACUCACACAGGACUCAGCUGGGUGAUUCUGCUCCCUGUAGAGUCAGCUGGAGUCCUUUGAGAUAUUCAAGUAGCAGCUGAUCUGAUCUGGACUUGUCAAAAUGGCUUUGCCGACUUAGCUGAUCCCUUGACCGGGAUGGCUGGAAAGCUGGACUCCGCUGGGCUCCACUCCCUCUCCAUGUGGUCUUAGGCCUUUCCACAUGGACUCAUCAGCAGGGUAGCUGGGCUUCUUACAUGAAAGCUCAGGGCUCCAAGAGACAAGGUUUGCCUUAAGGCUAGGCUUAGAGGUGUCAUAAUGUCACUUCCACCAUACUCAGUUGGUCAAAGCAGUCACAGGUUAGCCCAGAUUCAAAAGGGGAAAUAAAAUACAUAGACAUCACCUCUGGAUGGGAGGCAUCAGUGAAUUUGUGGUAAGAGCCUUUAAUCCACUGUAAAAACCAACUAUGUGCCAGACAGUGUUAAGAGGGGGAGAUACGAAACCAAGACAUGGCCCUGUCUUCAAGGAGCUUGCAGUCAUACAAGGUUACAAAUGAAGGCAGUUAAUGAGAUCAAUGUCAAGAAGCACUGUAAAUUGUAAAACAAUUUUAAUAUGAAGGAUUGCUUUGUCUCUGAGCUUUAUUCCUAAAUAAUCCUAAAACUAGGAUUUAACAAAUCCCUAUAAUGCUCUGAAGUAUCAGUUACUGUUUGUUGACUGUUCACCAAGUAUCAGGCACUCGGCUAAGAAUUGUUUUGGUAUAAUUCUUCCCAAUUCUCAAACCAAUCUCACUGCAUUAAUUUCUUUUUAUUCUUUUUUUGAGACGGAGUCUUGCUCUGUCAGCCAGGCUGGAGUGCAGUGGCUUGAUCUCGGCUCACUGCAAGCUCCACCUUCCGGGUUCACGCCAUUCUCCUGCCUCAGCCUCCCGAGUAGCUGGGGACUACAGGCGCCCGCCACCAUGCCUGGCUAAUUUUUUGUAUUUUUAGUAGAAACGGGGUUUCACCAUGUUGGCCAGGAUGGUCUUGAUCUCCUGACCUCAUGAUCCGCCCGCCCCAGCCUCCCAAAGUGCUGGGAUUACAGGCGUGAGCCACCGCACCCAGCCCAUUGCAGCAAUUUCUACAUGCCAAAGCCUUGCCCAUGCUUCUUGUUUGAUGACAUGAUAUCUUGGGUUUGGUCUUAUAUCAGCACCCACCACUCUACCCAUUGAUGCCACUUAAUAGAUGCUUCUCGACAUGCCCACGCAGGCCUCUAGCCACUUAAGGAGAGAUUUUCAAUUUACAGUGACCCAACCAACCACUCGUUAGAUGCUCUGAUCUGUUCCUCUCACAAUUAUUACUUUAAUUUGCUGUCCUCUCUCGGGCCGUGAGGCGACAAGCUUGUAGGCUGCAAGGCAGACAGAGUUGAAGAUGUAUUUAAAAGUGCUUAUGCGCUAUUAGCAAAACUUACUAAAUUCCUGCUGUGUUUAGGGAACUAGACCACAGAGCACUGUGAGCCAACACAGUUCCUGCCUCAGAGAAUAGUCACCCAGACAAGAUUUUAAAACUUUUCAUUAGUUUUACCUGAUUGAUAAAAUUAGAAUGGAGAAAAUCAGAAAAGUAAAAAACGAAAAAGCAGCUAGUCAUAGUCUCACUAUCCAAAACCAGUGCUAUUCAUAUUUUGAUUUAUUGCCUUCUGGUUAUUUCUUUAUUUAUUUUUAGUUUUAAGAAAAUUAAUACACUUCAUUUUUUAGAACAGUUUAAAGUUUAUAGUAAAAUUGAGCAGCUAGGACAGCUGUUUCCCUCUGCCCUCCUUCCCUGAACAUAUUCCCUUCCCUAUUAUUAACAUCGUGUAACAAAGAACUUGUAUUAGUGCCAUAUAUUUGUUACAAUUAGUGAACCAAUAUUCAUACAUUAUUAUUAAAUAAAGUCUAUCAUUUACUUUAAGGUUUAUUCUCUGUGUUGUACAGUUCUGUGGGUUUUGACGAAUGCAGGAUCAAACUGCAUCACGGAAGCUGCACACGAUGACACCCUGUCUGGAAAGUUUUUGCCAGAGGGCAAAAGACUGCAAGCAGAAUAUCCCUUUGCCAUUUCUCAUGCCCUCAGCUGGAAUGUGGCAGAACUGGGAGCUGAAUCCAGGACAGUGGUUUCCUCAUCUGCUCUAGCCAGGAGCAGGCCAGGCCACCCUUCUGGACACAGUCUAUCCCACGUGGGGACAGACUGGCCAGCCCCAGCCCGUGGGUCUCAACGCGGCCAGAGCUGCUGUGAGAAAUCUUGUUUGUUUUAGCCUUUGGAGUCCUGUCUGUUCUCUGACCUCUGACCCAGAACUGUGUGUUCCAACCACUUCCCAGUCUGUUGUCCUGGCUCAAAACAAAGUGAACGAAAGCUCUUUCCUCAAGCCCUGCUCUCAUACUCCAGGGCUCUGUGAAAAUGAGUGGUAUGGGCACAUGGCUGGUGAGUCACUGUGGCCCUAAAAUGAGCGGGAAAAUAGAGGGCAGGUCCGGGCCUCGCAGGGCACUAAUGGCAGGGAAGCAGGAGGGUCAGCAUCAGGAGCCUGGCCUUUGGCCCGCAGAGACCUGAGUCCUCCCCUUACUCCUGAGCUGUGUAACCUUAGGCAGGGAACUUACCCCUCUGGGCCUCAGUUUCCUCAUCGGGAAAGCAGGGCUGAUCAUAGUGCAUGGCUUAUAGAGCAGUUUUGAGGAUUUCAUGAACAAAAAAACAAAGGUAAAGCACUUAGCCUUCUGCCUGGCAUGAGUAAACCCUCAGGAAACUGUAGUUAUUAUUUAGUAGCCAGGAAAAUACAGAACACUUAAUCUGUUGGCUCCCUGGUGUUUCUCGAACUGUCAGCAAACACUUCCACAUCACCAGCCAGCAGAGCCAUUCAUCAAACACCUUUGCCUUUGUCUGUCAGGCCUCCCACUUCAACAAGUGUCCCUGGGUUUAAGUCAGUAACCUCCUAGGCACGGAAAGUUGCCUCACGCAUGUGACAUGCGAGCACGUCUCUAAAGGGGCAGAGGAUCUGGCAAAAACAUAGACUCGCAACUUGUCUGUUUCCUGAGACACCCACAAUUGGCCUCGUGGAAGUGGUUGACUUCUUCCCAUAGCUGCCUGUGUCUUACUUCAUCGCCUCCUCCAAGCCCAGGGCCAGCCCUGCCUGGCUGGGGGAUCAUGACAGUCUUUGUUCCCAUAUGGGCAAAGUCUUUUGAAAAGAGGGAAAGAUCAUUAGUUAGCUGUCAGCCUCCAGCGUGGUUAGGUCAUGAGUAAUUCUUCUAGAGAGCCAGAGCACUGGCAAUUCAUUUGGUCGAGAACGUUUUAUCUACUUGAACGGCGUAGCGAGGAAAUAAAUGGAACAAGUUAUAUCAAAAUCUCUGUCAACUGAACAAUUCCUUACCAAUCCAACAAGGAGUAUGACGACGAUGCCACUUUUCCUACCUUUGAGAGGUCAUGCACAGACACCGCACAUGAACACACCACAUUAUACCCCCCCCACCACAAAUGGGUGUACCCCCUCUCCCCCCACAUACUCACUGGUGCACAUAUACACGCCACACCACAUUCUGUAGUGGGGAAAGGAUCAUGUGCAGCCUUAAGGGCUGGUUUGCGUAACGGGUGCAUAUUUCUGCUAGUGUUUUUGUUCUUGCAGUCAGGACUGGCCGUUGUCUGAAAGCAAACCUCAAGGACAGGACUUCUGGACUCCGCAGCCACUUCAGGCUGCUGCUCCAUCGCAUGAAUUCCAGCAGGUGGCGCUGCACCCCGCGCGGACCCGGCUUGCCUCUCGGCCCCAGGGAGGUCGGUUGAUGAGCAGUCGGGAAGUGGGUCUGCGCGCACCCCGCUGCAGCUGUGGCAAACGCAAACGAUGACACACAGGCUUGACGAGGGCCUUUGUCAGAAGCAAUGGGGAUCUGGCGUCACCGCACAAUGGAAAACAAAGUGCUUCUGCCUGGCUGGCCAGAAUGCACGUUUGCUCACUAUUGAUGCUGGGGCAUUUACAGGCAGAAUGAGUUCAUGUGAAAUUUCAGGAUCUGCCAUGACUCAGAUUCACUUUCUGUAAACCAGAGUCAACAUUACAUUUCCCUUUACUCUGGGCCAUUCCUUGAAUUUUUAGGUCACCAGUUGUUUUUGUACUAACUGAAGGGAUUUGAGUAUUUCACAAGCACCUUAUUUUUAUUAGCAUUUUUAGGGCAUUACCAAUUUGGGACGGAUCUGUAGUGUGAGAGAUUGUUGUCACUCUUAGCUCCAAACAUAGGUUGACUUUAUAUAUUAUUUACAUGUUCAGAAUUAUACUGUGUAGAAAUUCAAAUGAAACUUGCAAAAUACUUUUCUGGCAGGAAGCCCUGGAGAGGAUCGUUCAUGGAAACAAGGAUGACGACUGGGGUAAGAAAUGCAGGUGACUCGUGAGUGGUCAGGGAGUGGAAGAGAAGACGGCUGGAAGGUUUUAGCAUUCAGAAAAAAAAUGGAGACAACUAGAGUUGAUCUGAAGAUUAUGGCAGAAUUCAAUAUUGGGGGAAAGAAACAAGAUGGGGGUUAGAAAUUAGAAACAGCAGAGCUCCACAGGUUGGAAAGGUUGGAAAGGAUUUGAGCAAGAGAACAAGGAGCCUGCUAAUAGCACCCUGGGUUUACAUCAAGAGAAGCACCUGGAGAGAAUUAACUCGGGAGGAGGUGGGGGCAUGGGAAACCUUUUCAUCUCCAAGAGCGGGCAGGAACAGCAGCUGGCCUGAACUUGAAGGUACACCAGGUAGCUUGCGUGGGCCAGGAGAAGGUGAUUCUCUUCUAUGCCUCUCUCCAACGCCCUGCUUCUGAUGCUGCUCCUCUACCUGUAUUGAGGGGAAGAUACAUCCCUAAGAAGUUCCCUGAACCCCAUUCUUUGUUGUGGCUAACUGGUCCCCUUGGAAUUUUUCUACUAAUUUUCAAUUCCCCCUCUCACCUGGUGAAAUCUUGAAUCUUACUGUUCAAUAAAAGUUCUUCUACCGAAA